CUUUGCCUAUGUGAGGUCUUAAAGGUUUUGACGGUACUGGCUGCUGGCAAAGCUGAGGUCACUGUGAAGUCGCAGGGCUAAGGAAAACUACUGCACGGAUCAUUGCAGUCUGACCGUGUUUCUGUUAAUG